GCUCUUCCCUGUCUUUAAAUAUGAGGCUUAAAUAGACAUAAAUAUUAAAUAGAGAUAAAUACAUGGGAUGGGGAGGGCUUGGCUCAGGGCUGGGCAAGGUGGCGUAGAACGCGGUACGACACCUCCAGGAAGCUCUGCAGAUGGGAGGCAACCAGGACCCCUCCUGCCCGGCGCUGGAAAGCAGAGGCGAAGGCCGGCAUGGCACCCUGGGUGGGCUGCAGGGCAGGGGCCAUUCCCAGUUCUUCCAUCUGUGGGGGAAAGCUGUGAUCAGUGGUUGGGCCCUUCUGAGUGGGCGUUAUUACAAAUGAGGAAAUGCUGGGGGUGACAGCAUGGACAGGGCCCAUACACAGGCCUGGCUGUGGUGCCCAGAAUGCCAGCACGACCUUGGCCACCCUGCCCAACAAGGCUCACCUGCUGCCAGAUGGUGGUGGCAAAGUCGGCGACGUCCAGCUGCAGUGUGUCCAAGGUGGGACCCAACUCGGGGGAGAUCCCUUCCAGGGCCUGCAGGAGCCCCUGGUAGAGGAAAAGGCCGCUAUGGAGUUGGCUCAAGCAGCCUGCCUGUGAGACAGAGCGGAAGAGUUAGGGGGUGCUGCCUGAGAUACGUCAGGCCCCCAGCUUGGAACCUGGAGACAUGGGGGAGCCCAUGGGUGUUCCUCCUCUCCUUCCCCCUCCUCAUUAGCCUUAUCCUUUCCUGACACUCACCAGCUGCAGGGCCUGGCUGGGGCAGCUGCUCAGGGGAGCCCAGGGGAUGCCCAGAGAGUGUCCGAGCAGCACCAGCUCCUCGGGGUGGCACAGCUUGUAGGUGGCACACUGGGGAUGGAAGGAUGCUGAGUGAGACUCGCCAUGGCCGGGUCGCCGCUCCUUCCCGGGUCCUCCCCGACUCUCUGGUCUUUCCCCUCCCUCCAUGUCCUGCCAGGCUGUUCAGUUCCUCUCUGCCCUGCACCCCCACUCUCUGAUCUCACAGGGGCCCUUGCCCUUUCUCCUGAAUGUAAUGCCUCCACUCCCAUCCCAGCCAGCCCUCCCGAGCACUGUCCCCACCAAGGUCCUCCUCCCCAAGUCCCUUCCCAGCCUUCCCCAGCUCCACUGCUCCUAAUAUUCUCCCACGUCCCUUCCAGAGGAUGUUGGCCCUGCAGUUCCAUCCCCCUUAGCUCUCCCCACCGGGCUUCCCUCCACAGCCCUCUCACCCACCUCACUCACCAGCUUCUCCUGGAGCGCUGCGCCAUCGCCCUGGAUCUUCCUCACUUGCUCUAAGCACUUGAGCAGGAAGCUCUGGGGCAGGGAGCUGGCAGGGCCCAGGGGGGUGGCUUCCUGCACUGUCCAGAGUGCACUGUGCCACAGCAGCAGCUGCAGGGCUGGGGACAGAGCGGGCUCAGGAGACAUGCUGUUCCCUACCACCUGAGGCCCUCUCGGGGACACUGGGUGCCUUUAAUCCCCAUUCCCAGAACGGGGAUCCCCAGCCCCUCUGUCACACCAGCCUCCCUCCCAUGCCAGGGCAGGCGGCUCUCCCAUCCUGGGCCAAGACACUCACCCAUCAGCUUCAUGGGGCUCUGGGUGGCAGGUCCAGCCAUGGGUCUGGGUGGGGCUGGGCUGCAGGCUCCGGGCUGUUUUGGGGCCCAGCUCUAGGGGGGCCUUUAUACAUAACCCCAUGGAGGCCUGGGAGGAAAUUACCUGGGGCCACGACUAAGGCUUAGUAAUAACUUCCCAGGAUUUAUGCAAAUUUGGUGUCCAAGACAAUGCAGGGGGGUUGGAACAAAAAGCUGUUUGCGAAAGUUUUGUGAAAUUGUGGAAUCUCUGAUCCUCCUUUGACGUCGCCUUGCCCCCCUCAAACUCCCUUCCUCCCG
rnacentral:lncRNA from 1 species